GGUCAGAGUAGCAUAGGGGAGAUGCUGAAGGCAGAAGAAGGGCUUGCUGAAGGUGGAGGAUGAGUUCCUUCCUUCCUAAGGUCACUCAGACUGAGAGGUGGGUUAUCACCCAGAAUGUUGGUACAGUUUUCUUUCCAGGAAGCAAAGAGCUCAUGGUCACAGCUGGGAUGCACUUAUCUGUCUCCCCAAACCCAGAUCCAAAUUCCUCUUAGAUCUCACUCUGUUCAUACAAUGUCUGUGACAAUGACAAGAGCACCAAGAUGUCUGAGUCAGAGUCCUGUGCUGCCUCAGAGCCUCCUGAGGGGAGGAGGUUACUUCUCAGAACAAAAAUCAUCUUUGCCUGGAGAAGGAACUCUCAAGGAUGCAGUGGUGUGAUCCCAGCAAUACAAGGCAAGCAGGGUUGGCAGACACCACCUGGCACCCUUGAGAUGCUUCAAGUCCUCCAAAUGCUUCUCCAUUACAAGCUGCCACAAGACACGCUACCAUCACCUCCAUUUAAAUAACCAUCCUGUUCCCUAUUUUCCAUUUCUCAGAUUUUAGCCAGGUCACAUUUUUAAACAGAGAGCCACACCCAGCCAUUUCCUUUGGAAGCUGAUCACCCUUUGCAGCCUUGUGGUGUCUACUCUGGUCUAUGUCUCAUUGUUGUCAUGUUCUCUGUCCCAUCUCUUUGCUCCUGGGUCCUAAUUAUCCAUCAGGUCCUAGACCGGGAACAGCUGCAAAGGCAAACAGAGUUAAAUCUCAAGAUAAGGGACUGUGGUAGGAUG
rnacentral:lncRNA from 1 species